GACGAACGCUGGCGGCGUGCUUAACACAUGCAAGUCGAACGGAAAGGCCCCUUUGGGGGUACUCGAGUGGCGAACGGGUGAGUAACACGUGAGUAACCUGCCCUUGACUUCGGGAUAACUUCAGGAAACUGGGGCUAAUACCGGAUAGGAAUCCUUGCUGCAUGGUGGGGGUUGGAAAGCUUCGGCGGUUUUGGAUGGACUCGCGGCUUAUCAGCUUGUUGGUGGGGUAGUGGCUUACCAAGGCUUUGACGGGUAGCCGGCCUGAGAGGGCGACCGGCCACGGCGGGAGGGAGGGCGGGCCCACACGGGGGGGGGAGGCGGGGGUGGGGAGUAGUGAGAGUGGGGCGGAAGCCAGGGGGGGCACGCGCGGGGGGGGGAGGGCGCCGUCGGGGUCGUCGACCGCUGGCGGGAGGGGGGAGGAGGGGGGUGACGGGACCUGAAGAAGAACCACCGGAAAACUGCGUGCCAGCAGGCGCGGUAAUAAGCGGAAGAGGACACGCAUGAUC
rnacentral:rRNA from 1 species